rnacentral:pre_miRNA from 1 species
UGAUGAUGAUGAUGAUGAUGAUGAUGAUGAUGAUGAUGACAAUGGCGACGAAGAUGCUGUUGUUCUCCUCCUCAUCAUCAUCAUCAACAAUAUUA